GGACAAGCAUAACAUCAGAUAAAGAGAUCUUAUCUGAUACUCAGGGCAUGACCAUUGAAUUGUCAGAAAUGCCAACCCAACAUCGCUUUGUCCAAACAAAGUAAUAGAUGCACUCUAAACCCAUUUCCCUAGUUAUUAUAACAGAUGCUUCCCAUGGGGAACCUUCCCUAGUUAUUACAACAGAUGCUUCCCUGCAAGGUUGGGGUGCUGAAUGUCAGAGUAUAGCCACUGGUGGAUUGUGGUCACAUUGAGGCAAACGAACACAAAC